rnacentral:rRNA from 1 species
CACGUAGGGUGCAAGCGUUGUCCGGAUUCAUUGGGCGUAAAGAGCUCGUAGGCGGUUCGAUAAGUCGGGUGUGAGACCUCCAGGCUCAACCUGGAGACGCCACCCGAUAUUGUCGUGACUAGAGUCCAGUAGGGGAGCGUGGAAUUCCUGGUGUAGCGGUGAAAUGCGCAGAUAUCAGGAGGAACACCAGCGGAGAAGGCGGCGAUCUGGGCUGGAACUGACGCUGAGGAGCGAAAGCGUGGGGAGCGAACAGG